CUGAAAAACACAGAUAAAAAGAAAGGUUCCACGUAUGGAAAAGAAAGAUCUGUGUGCAAUGGCUGCAAACAGCAGCCUCCUUGGUAGUGUAUGCAACCUGUUGCCUGUACAGGUAGCCCUAAGGGACCUUGGAAACAACU